AGAAUCACUUGAACCCGGGAGGCAGAGGUUGCAGUGAGCCGAGAUCGUGCCAUUGCACUCCAGCCUGGGUGACAAGA
rnacentral:snRNA from 1 species